UGGAGCGUGUGGUUUAAUUCGAUGCAACGCGAAGAACCUUACCCAGGCUCGAACGGUGAUGGACAUCCGGCGAAAGCCGGCUCCCGCAAGGGUCGUCACCGAGGUGCUGCAUGGCUGUCGUCAGCUCGUGUCGUGAGAUGUUGGGUUAAGUCCCGCAACGAGCGCAACCCUUGUCCGCUGUUGCCAUCAGGUUAAGCUGGGCACUCUGCGGAGACUGCCGGUGAUAAACCGGAGGAAGGUGGGGAUGACGUCAAGUCAGCAUGGCCUUUAGAUCUUGGGCA
rnacentral:rRNA from 1 species